ACUCCUACGGGAGGCAGCAGUGGGAAUAUUGCGCAAUGGGGAAGGCCAUCGACGCAGCAACGACCGCCGUGAAUGAAGAAGGCCUUAGGGUUGUAAAGUUCUGUUUCUGGGACGAUAAUGACGGUACCAGAGGAGGAAGCCACGGCUAACUACGUGCCAGCAGCCGCGGUAAUACGUAGGUGGCAAGCGUUGUCCGGAUUUACUGGGCGUAAAGGAUGCGUAGGCGGAUGUUUAAGUGAGAUGUGAAAUACCCGAGCUCAACUUGGGUGCUGCAUUUCAAACUGGAUAUCUAGAGUGCAGGAGAGGAAAGCGGAAUUCCUAGUGUAGCGGUGAAAUGCGUAGAGAUUAGGAAGAACACCAGUGGCGAAGGCGGCUUUCUGGACUGUAACUGACGCUGAGGCAUGAAAGCGUGGGGAGCAAACAGGAUUAGAUACCCUGGUAGGCUCUGC
rnacentral:rRNA from 1 species